rnacentral:tRNA from 1 species
GCCCAAGUGGCGGAACGGUAGACGCAGGGGAUUCAAAAUCCCCCGCCGCAAGGCGUGUGGGUUCGAGUCCCACCUUGGGCACCA